rnacentral:rRNA from 1 species
UACAGAGGUCCCGAGCGUUGUUCGGAUUCACUGGGCGUAAAGGGUGCGUAGGUGGCGUGGUAAGUUUGAUGUGAAAGCUCAGGGCUUAACCCUGAAAUGGCAUUGAAUACUACUGUGCUGGAGGUUUGGAGGGGGGACUGGAAUUCUUGGUGUAGCAGUGAAAUGCGUAGAUAUCAAGAGGAACACCAGUGGCGAAGGCGAGUCCCUGGACAACACCUGACGCUGAGGCACGAAAGCUAGGGGAGCAAACAGG